rnacentral:rRNA from 1 species
CUACCGGGGUAUCUAAUCCUGUUCGCUCCCCACGCUUUCGUCCAUCAGCGUCAAUAUACUGUUAGUGAUCUGCCUUCGCAAUAGGUGUUCUGAGUAAUAUCUAUGCAUUUCACCGCUACACUACUCAUUCCAACCACUUCACAGUAAUUCAAGACCGGCAGUAUCAAUGGCAGUUCCAUCGUUGAGCGAUGGGAUUUCACCACUGACUUACCGGCCCGCCUGCGGACCCUUUAAACCCAAUGAUUCCGGAUAACGCUUGCAUCCUCCGUAUUACCGCGGCUGCUGGCAC